rnacentral:rRNA from 1 species
AAAGGAAUUGACGGGCACCCGCACAAGCGGUGGAGCAUGCUGUUUAAUUCGAAGAUACGCGAAAAACCUUACCUAGACUUGACAUGCCGAUGACCGACUUAGAAAUAAGUCUUUCCCUUCGGGGACAUCGGACACAGGUGGUGCAUGGUUGUCGUCAGCUCGUGUCGUGAGAUGUUUGGUUAAGUCCAAUAACGAGCGCAACCCCUUUCCUUAAUUGCUAACAUUUAGUUGAGAACCUUAAGGAUACUGCCAGUAAUAAACUGGAGGAAGGUGGGGAUGACGUCAAAUCAUCAUGCCCCUUACGUCUAGGGCAACAGGCGUGCUACAAUGGCCGGUAUAAUAUGAUGCAAUAUCGUGAGAUGGAGCAAAUCACUAAAGCCGGUCCCAGUUCGGAUUGGAGUCUGCAACUCGACUCCAUGAAGUUGGAAUCGCUAGUAAUCCCGAAUCAGAAUGUCGGGGUGAAUACGUUCCCGGGUGUUGUACACACCGCCCGU